UUCCCCUGGCAAUGGGCAAAGAGACACUUUGUUGGUGAUGGUGUUCUUAUACCAGUCAGGGUCAGAGAAGUUGGCAUUCCUUUGUUCAUCUAAGCUUGAUGCCUGGCUUGGUGGCCAAAGCUGUGUUAUGCUAAGGACUCAUAA